rnacentral:rRNA from 1 species
AUUGAACGCUGGCGGCAGGCCUAACACAUGCAAGUCGAACGGUAACAGGAAACAGCUUGCUGUUUCGCUGACGAGUGGCGGACGGGUGAGUAAUGUCUGGGAAACUGCCUGAUGGAGGGGGAUAACUACUGGAAACGGUAGCUAAUACCGCAUAACGUCGCAAGACCAAAGAGGGGGACCUUCGGGCCUCUUGCCAUCGGAUGUGCCCAGAUGGGAUUAGCUAGUAGGUGGGGUAACGGCUCACCUAGGCGACGAUCCCUAGCUGGUCUGAGAGGAUGACCAGCCACACUGGAACUGAGACACGGUCCAGACUCCUACGGGAGGCAGCAGUGGGGAAUAUUGCACAAUGGGCGCAAACCUGAUGCAGCCAUGCCGCGUGUAUGAAGAAGGCCUUCGGGUUGUAAAGUACUUUCAGCGGGGAUGAAGGGAGUAAAGUUAAUACCUUUGCUCAUUGACGUUACCCGCAGAAGAAGCACCGGCUAACUCCGUG